GUUUUUAUGGUGUAACUUAACACAUUGCAUUUUCAUUGCUAAACUGAAAAUUUAUUUUCUAAAAACU
rnacentral:tRNA from 2 species